rnacentral:rRNA from 1 species
UACGGGGGGGGGCAAGCGUUGUUCGGAAUUACUGGGCGUAAAGGGCGCGUAGGCGGCCUUCUAAGUCGGACGUGAAAUCCCUCGGCUCAACCGAGGAACUGCGUCUGAUACUGGAAGGCUUGAAUCCGGGAGAGGGAUGUGGAAUUCCAGGUGUAGCGGUGAAAAUGCGUAGAUAUCUGGAGGAACACCGGUGGCGAAGGCGGCAUCCUGGACCGGUAUUGACGCUGAGGAGCGAAAAGCCAGGGGGGGAGCAAAACGGGGAUUAGAAA